UGGACUUCAAUGAUUUGGAUUCUUGCACUUCACUUGGUGGAAUUAAUAUUAGAAUGUUAGGGUUUGUAAUCCAAGUGAGAAUAUAUACAUUUUAAUAUUAAUUCCACCAAGUGAGGUGCAAGAAUCCAAAUCAUUGAAG
rnacentral:miRNA from 1 species